GGUGGGGGUGGGGUGGAGGGACCCAAGUGGGUAGUGCCCUUCUACUUUUCUUGAAAAAAAAGGUGAGCUUAUUGGGCAAGUUGUAAAGUUUCUGCUGAUAAGUGAGUGAAUUAGAAGUGGGAAACAAUGAGAACACCAAAGCAGUUUAGUUUUUUAGUUCAACAUUAUUGAAUGAAAAAAUGUAUGUCAAAAUAUUAUUUGAGGUUAACAUGUUAAUUAUUUUAAUCAGAAAAGCCAGAUGGGAUUUGCCUAUAUGGAAUAUGUUCUUUAAACUUUUGUUUUAGUUAUAAAGAUUGAAACUUUAUGCCCCAACAGUUCCAUGUGCGAUUUGUAUAAGAUUUGUACAAGUUGGGUGUAGAUGACUACCAAAUUCUUGGUCAAGAAGUUGUGAACAUAUACAUAUUGUCAAGAAGACUGAUAUUGCUACAGUUACUCUAAUUGGAAAGAUGUUGGAGAAAUGGCUUGGAGUGGUUUGUGGCAAGAAUAAUAUUGAUACUAUAGAUGAGAACAAUAUUCAUAUCAAUGGAAAAAAGGUUAGAGGGACAGUUGUGUUGAUGAAGAAGAAUGUCUUGGACUUUACGGAUGUUGGUGCUUCUCUUCUCGAUCGAUUUCAUGAAGUCAUUGGCAAAGGUGUUUCUUUGCAGCUCAUCAGUGCAGACCAUGCAGAACCUGGAAAUGGAUGUACAGGGAAGUUGGGACAACCAGCAUUCCUGGAAAAUUGGAUUUCCACAUUGACGUCAAUAUCAGCGGGAGAUGCUACAUUUAAUGUGACAUUUGACUGGGAUGAGUCCAUGGGAGUUCCUGGAGCUUUCAUAAUCAAGAAUUACCACCACAGUCAGUUUUACCUCAGGACAGUCGUUUUAGAAGAUGUUCCUGGACAUGGUGAACUUCAUUUUGUGUGCAAUUCAUGGGUGUAUCCAGCACACCGCUACAAAUACGACCGCGUGUUUUUUGCAAACAAGACAUACCUGCCUAGCAACACACCGGAGCCUCUCAGACCAUACAGGGAACAGGAGCUUCUUAGUCUUCGUGGAAGUGGUUCAGGCAAGCUCAAGGAGUGGGACAGAGUGUAUGAUUAUGCAUUCUACAAUGAUCUUGGAUUUCCAGAUAAGGGGCCAGACUAUGUUCGACCUGUGCUUGGUGGAUCGAAGGAAUAUCCAUAUCCUCGUAGAGGCAGGACAAGCCGUUGAGCAACCAAAACAGAUCCUAUGUCAGAGAGCCGGUUGCCGCCUUUAGGUUUGGACAUUUAUGUUCCACGAGAUGAGCGUUUCACUCCUAUGAAGCUUUCAGAUUUCCUUGCAUAUGCUGUUAAAUCUUUGGGUCAGGUCCUCGUUCCUGAGAUUGUUGCUUUAUUUGACAAAACGAUCAACGAGUUUGAUAGCUUUGAAGACGUACUCAAGCUUUAUGAAGGUGGGAUAAAACUGCCUGACCAUCAUUUAAAAAAACUCAGGCAAUGCAUCCCAUGGGAGAUGCUCAAAGAACUAGUCCGCUCCGAUGGUGAACCAUUUAUCAAAUUUCCGAUGCCUGAUGUAAUCAAAGUUGAUAGGUCUGCCUGGAGGACAGAUGAAGAGUUUGGACGGGAAAUGCUAGCUGGAGUCAACCCUGUUAUCAUUCGACGUCUUCAGGAGUUUCCCCCGGCUAGCAAGUUGGAUCCUGAAGUAUAUGGUAAUCAGACCAGUUCAAUCAAAAGGGAGCACAUAGAGAAAAACAUGGAUGGACUAACUGUAGAUGAAGCUAUUGAGGGUAAUAGGCUGUUCAUUUUAGACCAUCAUGAUGCAUUGUUGCCUUACCUAAGACGGAUUAAUACAACAAAAACGAAGACUUAUGCCAGUCGGACUCUCCUUUUUCUUCAAGAUAAUGGAACAUUGAGGCCACUUGCAAUUGAGUUGAGCUUACCUCAUCCACAAGGAGAUAAACAUGGUGCCACCAGCCUUGUAUUUACACCAGCUAACGAGGGUGUUGAAGGCACUGUCUGGCAGCUGGCCAAAGCUUAUGCCGCUGUAAAUGAUUCUGGCUAUCAUCAGCUUAUCAGUCAUUGGUUAAAUACUCAUGCAACAAUAGAGCCAUUUGUGAUUGCUACGAAUAGACAUUUGAGCGUACUUCAUCCAAUAUUCAAGCUUUUACAACCUCAUUUCCGUGAUACCAUGUAUAUAAAUGCUUUGGCUCGGCAGAUACUCAUCAAUGCAGGUGGAAUACUUGAGCUGACAGUUUUUCCAGGGAAAUAUGCCAUGGAAAUGUCAUCUAUUGUCUAUAAAAGUUGGGUGUUCACCGAGCAAGGACUUCCUGCUGAUCUUCUUAAGAGAGGAAUAGCAGUGCCAGACUCAAGCCAACCCUAUGGCCUUAAACUUCUAAUUGAGGAUUAUCCUUUUGCUGUAGAUGGGCUUGAGGUUUGGGCAGCAAUCGAAGCCUGGGUUGACGACUACUGUUCAUUCUAUUACUCAACAGAUGACGUGAUCCGUGAUGACACUGAACUCCAGUCUUGGUGGAUGGAAGUUCGCAAUGAAGGUCAUGGUGACUUGAAAGAUGAACCAUGGUGGCCUCAGAUGCAGACACGCGCUGAACUCAUUGAAACAUGCACAACUAUCAUAUGGGUGGCUUCUGCUCUUCAUGCAGCUGUCAACUUCGGGCAGUAUCCUUAUGCUGGUUACCUCCCAAAUCGCCCAACAGUAAGUCGUCGAUUCAUGCCUGAGCCAGGCACUCCUGAGUAUGCUGAACUUGAAUCUAAUCCUGACGUUGCCUACCUAAAGACAAUCACAGCCCAGUUCCAAACUCUACUAGGUGUUUCAUUAAUUGAAAUAUUGUCACGACAUUCUUCAGACGAGAUAUAUCUGGGACAGAGAGAAAAUCCAGAGUGGACUUCAGAUGUUGAACCACGACAAUCAUUUCAAAGAUUCCACGACAGAUUAGUAGACAUUGAGAACAGAAUAGUGGAAAGGAACAGUGACAGCAGAUGGAAGAAUCGCAACGGACCAGUUAAGGUUCCAUAUAUGUUACUAUACCCCAAUGCCUCAGGUGACAACAGUGAAAGUGGACUUACUGGUAAAGGAAUUCCCAAUAGUGUCUCAAUUUGACGUGUUCUACAGCGCGAAUAUAAUAGCCUGAUUGGCAACAUAUAGUGUGUAUAUCCAUUCUUCUAUGUCAAAAUUUCUUUAGCCAAAUUCUAUCAUUGUUAUGUGUGUUUCUGCUUGGACUUCAUGACUCAGCCCAAGAAGGGAAAAUGCAGUACUGCAUCCUUGUAUAUAGCUAAAGUCUAAACACAUCACAGUAACUUUUUCCUAUUUUUUCUGUAUCUACAAAUGAUUUUAUGGUUUCUGCACAAUGAUCCUAUAUAUGAAAUGCAGCUAAAAGCACAUAUGCUAAA